rnacentral:rRNA from 1 species
GACAGAGGGUGCAAACGUUGUUCGGAAUUACUGGGCGUAAAGCGCGUGUAGGCGGCUAUGUAAGUCGGGCGUGAAAUCCACGGCUCAACCGUGGAAGUGCACCCGAAACUGCGUAGCUAGAGUCCUGGAGAGGAAGGUGGAAUGCUUGGUGUAGAGGUGAAAUUCGUAGAUAUCAAGCGGAACACCGGUGGCGAAGGCGGCCUUCUGGACAGUGACUGACGCUGAGACGCGAAAGCGUGGGGAGCAAACAGGG